rnacentral:snRNA from 1 species
AGAUGUGAGGGAGGUUUGGCUAUGACAUCUGUCAUUGAAUUGAUUGCUAGGGUUGAUUUGGCUGAGCUGCUUGGCUCAAUGAUUGUCCUUUUUCUUCUUGGCUCCAUGUAUGUCAGUAUUUCACAAGAUUAGUGUGAAUGCUCCCUUAGUUAAUACCAACAACCACCAAUCACAAUUAAGAACUAGAAAAAAAAAUCCAGGUCAUUUUAUAUUUGAGCCCCUCAUUUUACAUAAAAAGAAAUGGAGACCUC